rnacentral:rRNA from 1 species
GCUAGCUACAGGCUUAACACAUGCAAGUCGAGGGGCAGCAUUUUAGUUUGCUUGCAAACUGAAGAUGGCGACCGGCGCACGGGUGAGUAACACGUAUCCAACCUACCGAUAACUCCGGAAUAGCCUUUCGAAAGAAAGAUUAAUACCGGAUAGCAUACGAAUAUCGCAUGAUAUUUUUAUUAAAGAAUUUCGGUUAUCGAUGGGGAUGCGUUCCAUUAGUUUGUUGGCGGGGUAACGGCCCACCAAGACUACGAUGGAUAGGGGUUCUGAGAGGAAGGUCCCCCACAUUGGAACUGAAACACGGUCCAAACUCCUACGGGAGGCAGCAGUGAGGAAUAUUGGUCAAUGGGCGAGAGCCUGAACCAGCCAAGUAGCGUGAAGGAUGAAGGCUCUAUGGGUCGUAAACUUCUUUUAUAUGGGAAUAAAGUUUUCCACGUGUGGAAUUUUGUAUGUACCAUAUGAAUAAGGAUCGGCUAACUCCGUGCCAGCAGCCGCGGUAAUACGGAGGAUCCGAGCGUUAUCCGGAUUUAUUGGGUUUAAAGGGAGCGUAGGUGAAUUGUUAAGUCAGUUGUGAAAGUUUGCGGCUCAACCGUAAAAUUGCAGUUGAAACUGGCAGUCUUGAGUACAGUAGAGGUGGGCGGAAUUCGUGGUGUAGCGGUGAAAUGCUUAGAUAUCACGAAGAACUCCGAUUGCGAAGGCAGCUCACUAGACUGUCACUGACACUGAUGCUCGAAAGUGUGGGUAUCAAACAGGAUUAGAUACCCUGGUAGUCCACACAGUAAACGAUGAAUACUCGCUGUUUGCGAUAUACAGUAAGCGGCCAAGCGAAAGCAUUAAGUAUUCCACCUGGGGAGUACGCCGGCAACGGUGAAACUCAAAGGAAUUGACGGGGGCCCGCACAAGCGGAGGAACAUGUGGUUUAAUUCGAUGAUACGCGAGGAACCUUACCCGGGCUUAAAUUGCAACAGAAUAUAUUGGAAACAGUAUAGCCGUAAGGCUGUUGUGAAGGUGCUGCAUGGUUGUCGUCAGCUCGUGCCGUGAGGUGUCGGCUUAAGUGCCAUAACGAGCGCAACCCUUAUCUUUAGUUACUAACAGGUUAUGCUGAGGACUCUAGAGAGACUGCCGUCGUAAGAUGUGAGGAAGGUGGGGAUGACGUCAAAUCAGCACGGCCCUUACGUCCGGGGCUACACACGUGUUACAAUGGGGGGUACAGAAGGCGGCUACCUGGUGACAGGAUGCUAAUCCCAAAAACCUCUCUCAGUUCGGAUCGAAGUCUGCAACCCGACUUCGUGAAGCUGGAUUCGCUAGUAAUCGCGCAUCAGCCAUGGCGCGGUGAAUACGUUCCCGGGCCUUGUACACACCGCCCGUCAAGCCAUGAAAGCCGGGGGUACCUGAAGUACGUAACCGCAAGGAGCGUCCUAGGGUAAAACUGGUAAUUGGGGC